CCACCUUUAACAUUAGACUAAAAAUAAGUGAUGGCAAUUAAACACCACCCACUCUGGCUGUAUUUUCUCAUGUGCGCCCAACCUCAUUUCUCUUCCCAACAUCAGAUCUCCUAUUUUUCACCUAAACAUUCAAAAUCCUAGCCUACCUCUCGAUCUUGGUCUUCAAUGGUUGAUAUACCGUCGACUCAGCCUUCGUGUGUGGAUUCGGUCCUCUAUUCAAUUGUCGAUUCUAUAGAGACGACGACUCAUACUGAAUUUUUGCCAUUUGUCACAUAGUUGGAGAAAUAGUCUCUUUCUUGCGAGUUCGAUACGAUGGUUCCUGAAACUGAUCACUGUUGCCCAUUGAUGGCUUUGUCGCUGAUGGAUGUCCCAUUUUACCUGACAAUAAGGAGUGAUCCGAUGAAAAUAAAUGGUUCUUACAAAUGCAAAGCAUUUGAUGCCCUAGCAUGUUCACGCUCCUCUAAUCAGGUGAACUUUUUCUUAUGCCUUCAUUUAUGGGCUAAAAGUCACUCAUCUGAAUGUUUAUUCCGAGGCUUGAAGGUUUGGUGUGUC
rnacentral:lncRNA from 1 species